rnacentral:rRNA from 1 species
GCAUAUCAAUAAGCGGAGGAUAAGAAACUAACAAGGAUUCCCCUAGUAACUGCGAGUGAAGCGGGAAAAGCUCAAAUUUAAAAUCUGGUGGUCUUUGGCCAUCCGAGUUGUAAUCUAGAGAAGUGUUAUCCGCGCUGGACCGUGUACAAGUCCCCUGGAAUGGGGCGUCAUAGAGGGUGAGAAUCCCGUCUUUGACACGGACUACCAGGGCUUUGUGAUGCACUCUCAAAGAGUCGAGUUGUUUGGGAAUGCAGCUCAAAAUGGGUGGUAAAUUCCAUCUAAAGCUAAAUAUUGGCGAGAGACCGAUAGCGAACAAGUACCGUGAGGGAAAGAUGAAAAGAACUUUGGAAAGAGAGUUAAACAGUACGUGAAAUUGUUGAAAGGGAAACGCUUGAAGUCAGUCGCGUCUGCCAGGGAUCAACCUUACUUUUGUGAGGCGUACUUCCUGGUUGAUGGGUCAGCAUCAGUUUUGGUCGCUGGAUAAAGGUCAGAGAAAUGUGGCACCUUCGGGUGUGUUAUAGUCUUUGAUCAGAUACAGUGGCUGGGACUGAGGAACUCAGCGCCGCAAGGCUGUCUUAGGAUGCUGGCAAAAUGGCUUUAAUCGACCCGUCUUGAAACACGGACAAAAGGAGUC